GCUUAUCUCAAGUGGAGAAACACCUUAGUCGUUAUCUGAUUGAACCUGUUCAGCUCAAUGUGGUCGUGAAGCGACGUUUGAACACCGAAGCUAGUGAUCUUCCUCUGAUCGAAGUUGUAGGAAAUUUGGCGUUGUUUAAGAUAAAUUUGGGAAUUAGUGAUUUCCGAAUGCUGAUGAUGGUUAUAAACGAUAACUUGCUUGAAGGCCGUGGCGAACGCCAAGAAGCUCCCAAAUCUUCUGAACCGUUGCCGCCAGAUGAAGAUCUCAAGUCGAUAACAGCGGGAGAAUCUCUGGAUAGAACAGACGCCGGCUCAGUAAUAAGCGAAAAAGAAGAGACGACUGUCAAGUGUACAUUUACUUUGGGAAAG